rnacentral:rRNA from 1 species
GUGCCAGCUGCCGCGGUAAUACCGGCAGCCCGAGUGAUGGCCGAUAUUAUUGGGCCUAAAGCGUCCGUAGCUGGCCGCGCAAGUCCGUCGGGAAAUCCAUCAGCCCAACUGAUGGGCGUCCGGCGGAAACUGCACGGCUUGGGACCGGAAGGCUCGAGAGGUACGUCCAGGGUAGGAGUGAAAUCCUGUAAUCCUGGACGGACCGCCGAUGGCGAAAGCACGUCGGGAAGACGGACCCGACGGUGAGGGACGAAAGCCAGGGUCUCCAACCGGAUUAGAAACCCCAGUAGUCC